CUUAACUCAAUUGCUACUACUUUUAUUUUAAGUCACCAAACUCGAGUCAAUUUUAAAUAAAUUAACAAAAACAAUCAAACUUAGUCAAAACCAAUUCAAUUCUCUUUUCAUAUUUGCAGCUUUAGUAACCUUUGGAUCUGCUGCCUCAAAUUCUCCCAUGAUUGCCCCCAGUUUUUUUGCCAUGAACUCACUACGGAGUUUCAAGGGAAGGUCGCACACUCUUGUCCAGAAUGAGAUCGAACUCGUAUCCAUUUCAGACUACGAUGUUACGAUCAAAACUCCAUGGACCAGCCUUAAUCACAUUUUCUAAAUCUCGUAUUGAAAAAAAAACAAAAGAGAUACAGGUUCUUACCGAGUUCCUGAGUCUCUAUUAGGUUCUUAGGUCUCCAAAAUUCCACAAUCUUAGUUUUGAAAUCUCAGACAUUAUAACUGCUGUUAGUCCACAACUUUCCAACAGGGGAUCUUCUAAAGAAAUCCUCUUCCAUAUGUUCUUCAUCUUCCUCUGUAACCCCAAUCACGCCAUCUUCGAACCUAACAGCUUAAGACUCUUACGAAGACAAAAUUCAAAAUCCUGGAGAGCGCAGGGAGCUUCCAGGAUGAAACCUAGGGUAAGAUCCAAGAAAGGAAGUCUUUUUUAAUGUUGACUCUUGUUCAUUUAUAUAGCUUAUAUUUAAUUGCAAGUGAUAUCUUAAGUUUUUAGACUGUAACUAUCAUAUUGGUUAUUUGUACAUAGCUCUUUAUUUUCUAAUUUAUGGUGCCGUAUUUCAAAUUAGUAAGAAAUAAAAGAGAAGAUGAAAAGUUUGUAAAAAAAAAGGGAUGAAUAGAACAAAGAAAUAAUUAAAAGGAAAUGAAACAGGGGCGAUAACAAUUACCACCUAAUUAACAUUAUUAUAUUAUAUACAUAACAUAUUCAAUAUCAGGUAGAGAUACCAUAACAGCUAAACAAUCCCUGCCACUGGCCUAAUAUCAACAAAACUUUGGGGCAUGUCUUUAAAAUUAAACUCCAUAAUAAUAAAUAAAAACAUUCUAAAAGAAAAGGGUGGUUCCCAAUGCAAAGAUUCACGCGCUUUUCUUUUUCAAAAUGGCCAAAAUACAAAUGGACAACCAUGCCACAGAUCACUCAGUUCCCAACUCAAAAUAUUGUCUUCCAGUUCAAAACCUAUUAAGUAUUGUGGGGUCACAUUUGCUGCUACCUUUGCUUCAUGGAAUUGACAUUUUUACCCUCAGCUUGUUUCUGUGAUAAGUAAACUUGGCACUGUAAAACAGUUUUACCAAUCUUAAAACCUGGAAUUACAGUGAAACCAACUUGUGGUUCAGAUUCCACUGCUUCUACUACUUCAUCAUUCAAAUUUACAACACUCUCCAUGUACACAUCAGAGAAUCUACACGUUUUCCCUACUUGAAAGAUUUCAACAUGAGGUUCAAAAGAAAAUGCUAAGCAAUGCAAGAGCCAAAUCCUUUUAGCCAUCUCAGCAAAUGAUGUGAAGAAAUUAUUGCCAAGUGGAAAUUCUCCAGCAUUCAAAAUGUUCCUAUGUUUCAUUUCACCAAAAAAAGAUGCCUCCAUUUUUGGGUGAACUAGUCUCAAGUAUUUGACCCUGCAAAACUUUGCAAAACUUGUUGAACUUGGUUUCAAAGCAAGAAAUUCCCUUGCUUUCAUAGAUUUUAACUCAUUGAACCUCCCAAAGAAGAAUUGUGUUUUGUUUCUAUCAGGAAUUGACUCAUUUGAAAGAUUGAAAUUAGGGAAGUUGAAUGAAUCAAACAUUUCCCUACAAACAAAAGACUCAAUGGCAAAACACUUGUGAUCUUCUUUCCAAUAAACCACAUUCUCUUCAACAAUAGCAUUCACAGAUGCAUCAAUAUCCCAAUUAGAAGAUCUCAUCUCAUUCACUAACAACUUCACAAAGCUUCGAAUCGACCUAACCGUGUGUCGAAGAACAUAUAUAAAAUGUGUAGGACUUAGUCCUGAAAUAUGAAGAUUAUCAAGUGAAGAUAAUGAUAUAAAAUGUGUAGGACUUUGAUUUAACUUCUUCUCAAUUGACUUGUUUUGCUUAAUUGCUUCCUCUAACUUCUCUUUAAGAAACAUGAUCUCAGAGUCUCGAAGUCGCGCCUGCGAUUCUAACUUCUUUGCCAUGAUCUUAUAGGUUUUUGUAACACUCUUAAGCUCCUUUGAUUCAGCUACAACAAUUGCUCCCUCAAGUGAAGGAUCAAAAUCAAAUUGUUUUUUGAACCAACAUUGCUUU
rnacentral:lncRNA from 1 species